ensembl:lncRNA
GGGGGCAAAACCAGUAUGUCAGGUAUCACUCACACCCCAUUUACAGAUGAGGAGACAGAGGCUCAGGUGAGGGUGGGGCUCAGGUCAGAGUGAGGUGGGGCCUGGCUCCAGGUGGAUCUGCUCUUGACCCCACCGCCCUCUUUUCUUCUCUUCUUCACUGCUCUGUACAGACCCCCCUGCAGUGUGGCUUCUCCGAAGGCCCCUCAGCCUUGUUUUCAGACAUCCUGGAAGGUGGCACCACUCUCCAUCCCUUUCUGGCCUCCCCAAUGGGACUGUCUCUGGGAGCAGGUGCUGGCCACUCAGCCCAGCUCCUCAGAGCGUGGCCCAGACAGUCAGGGCCGUAGGCUCACUGGCCCGGAACUGGGGACACUCCCUCAGUGGACCUGUCGGCAGAAAGGUGGAAUGUAUAUCACCACCAUCACUGCUGGGGUCCCUGGCUGAGGCUGUGGGUGCUGAGGGAUUGGGACAGUCAGGCUGUGGUGGACAGGGACUUGUGGCCUCGUCUUGGCCACGUGGAGCCCCACAGGGUGACCUUGGCCCAUCCGCCUCUCUCACAGUCUCCGUUCCUUGUGAGAUUUGGAGCCCGUGUCAGGGGUAUCUGGGACUGGGAUGCGGCAGGGUGAGGAGGCUCUUUGUGCUGGGGACAGUCAUCAAAGCAAGGCAGUCCUUGCCCCUGACCGGUCUCGGCAGAGGAAGCUGAGGCCUGUGCCCAGCAGAGGGGCCUCAGUGGGGUCGUGAGGGCCCAGCAUCACCGAAGCGAGUUCUGACCUCAUGGUCUGCAUGUGAUCCAUGCAGGGACCUCAGGGUCCAAGCCAUGUGAUUUCAGAGGUUCACUUCACUCCCAGAGGUUGUUCACCACGCCCACUUCAGAAUAGCACUGUGAGCAUUAGGGGAACUUGCACUUCAGGCCUCAGCCCAGCAUCCAGGGCACAGGAAGCCCUGCGUUGAGUGGUCUUUGUUGUUCAUGUUGACGGUGGUGUCAUCAGAGGUGUCAUUCCAGCUUUUGGCCCAAAAUCCUGGCUUCCUAUCCUCCUGAGUCCACAGUACAAUGAGCUUGCGGCUGGACGUCUUGUGGUUGGGUUGGGGGUUAUGUGACCAGUUUUGACUUGUGCGUCCUUCUGUGCCCAGGUGUGUCGCUGCCAGGGCCACCUACCAGGCCUCUUGCUUGGUCGAGAGGUGAUGCCUUGGGGGGCAGGAGCCUCCCUGCCAUCCCGCCAGACUUGCAGUGUGAAUAAGAAAUAAGCCUUUGUAGUUUUGGGCCCUUGAGGUCUGGGGGCUUUGUUACAGCAGCAUAGCCUAGCCCACCUGGACUGCUGCCUGGUGGGCAUUGUCAGCAUCGUCUUCAGGUCUGAUCCCCACCAGGUCCGUGCGGGAGACCGUGAGCCGUGGAGGAGAUCUGGCAGAGAGAACAUUGUCACUGGCCUGUUCCUGGAGUCUGUCCACUCACAGUCUGAUCUGUUCAUCUUCUCACUAGUCAUUUCAGUCAUUCAUUCAUUCAGCAGUGUCCUUUGAGCACCUGUCCACUGGUUCAAGGGAGCCCACAGGACACUGGGGAGCUGGAGAUCGUUGUGUGGAGCGACAGUGAGGGAUGGGUGGAGUGGGGAACCUAAAAGGGUGGUAGGCACCAGACUCUCAGAGUCAGGCAGCGGGUUCUGUCCCAGAAAAGGCUGAGAGGUGGCAAAAGAACUGGGCAAGUUGGGUGUGGCCAGCAGGGCUGGAGCCAGGUCACGGCCAGGCUGGAGGAGACUUUGGCCUUUGGCUGAAGGACGAGACUGAAUCUUGGGUGAAACAGAAGACCAGCUCUUGGAGAGGGAGACCAGAUCUCAUCCGGCCGCCGCGUUCUGGAAGAGACGAGGGGACAGCGCACGCGAGCAGAGGAGGAGAGGCGGCGCGGGGAAGGGAGGCGGCGAGACGCGCAGCGCCCGCGCCCGGGAGACCCAGGAGGAGCCCGCAGGUAUUGUUGGCGGCGAAGCUUUGUAUCUUGGUGGGUGGGGGGACGAUCCGGGUGCGAGGGCUCCUGAGGCUGCCGGCCGGGGUCUCCGCCCGCCCCCGGCACCCCUCCUACCGCGCCGCAGUCUUGGCUGGAGUUGCAGACCUGCCUGUUUGGGGUUUUCCACACCCGUUGUGGGAAUCGGUCUCAGAAGGAAUUUCUUUCUUUUUUUUUUUUGGCCGCAGUUUGGUUGUACCGGGGAUUUCCCCCUCCCCUUCUCUCCACCACACACUGGUGAGAGGUCUUGGCGACCGUGGCACUGGCCGAAGGCUGAGGGCUGAGAUGGCGGGGCUGGUGGCCGCGGACCGGAGGGAGGGACGCGGGGAGGAAGGAGUUUUGCUCAAGUUCUCAGUGUGCGCCGCGGAGCUGGUCAGGCGGGGAGGGUCGGCUGCGCGCCCCGUCCUGCUCCGGGCCACCGGUGGGAAACUUCCCUAGAGCGCAGCCUCCCGGGGGACUCGGCGCCCCCGACGCCUCGGGCGCUCACUCCGGCCGCCUGGGCCCCGCCUCGCUGCUCGCGAGCACCGAGGUCGCGCUCUCCCCGCCCCCGCCUUCCUCCUCCCCCGGCGGCUUCCGGAUCUGGACUGGGCAGGAGAAGCGGCUCCGAACACUUCCCCCGGAGACCCCUCCCCACUGGCCGCUAUAGUCCCCUGCCCUGGCACCCCCGCCUCGCGCGCGCCCCAGUGGACAGGCUGACAAUGAAACCUCGCGCCUGUGCGGUUGUGGGGAGAGGUCGGAGCUUGGUCUCUCGGGGGGCUACUAACCCCAGGAAGCCGGAGGGGGGACUCUUUGGGGGUGGGGCUUGUUUAGGUUAGAGACG